UCAGCUCACGUUUGUGUGUACCGUGAUUAUAAUGAACUAUCAAACAGUAAAAGAGUUUUGCAACAUCAUAUGUAAACAUCCUGUGUUUCAGCUUUUUAACAAGGAAAAAAUAUGGGACGAACAUUCAAGCCAAAAAUCCCAAAACGUGAUCCGGCGAUACUUCGUUCGGCGGUUAAAGCAAUGAAAACCGGAUGGUCACUUCGCGCAACCGGACGUGAGUUUUGAAUUCCUCGAUCAACUUUAUUAUUACAUCGAAAGAAUAAUGAACAUGGAACGCCGAACGAGGAGGAAAGAGCCGUGGGACAGUCGAACGAUCAGGUGGACAAUAUUAAAAUUGUGGAGAGAGGCCACAGAAUGGUGUUCAACGCUUCACAAGAAACAUCUAUCGAAAACACCUUCUGCAUGCGUCAGACAUUUAUUUCGGCUUGACAUCGGUUCAAGUGCGAGCCUUGGCCUAUGAAUUUGCCAGACAACUGGAUGUUGACUAUCCGCCCUCUUGGAAUCGGGAUGAAUUGGCCGGCUUAGAAUGGUUUCGCUUUUUCAUGUCCCGACAUCCAAAAUUAUCGCUGAGAAAACCUGAAGCCACUAGCUUAGGCAGAGCCAGCGCAUUUAAUCCAACGAAUGUUGCUGCCUUCUUCGCUAAUUACUUUCAUGUAAUGAACGAAAUAAAGAUCGGACCAUGCGAUAUCUGGAAUGUUGAUGAAACGGGUGUAUCUACAGUGCAUAGAACGGUCCGUGUUAUAUCUCGUUGUGGUCGGAAGCAGAUCGGGCAAAUCACAUCUGCCGAGCGUGGACAAUUGGUGACACUUGUUCAAGCUGUAUCGGCAACUGGAAUGCGUGCACCGUCGUCUUUUGUGUUCCCACGCGCAAGUUUCGAAGAGUGUUUUUUGAAUGGUGGGCCGUCUGGUUCAACUGGAGGAGCAAAUCCGAGUGGAUGGAUUAAUGCAGAGAUGUUUCUAGAAUUUUUGAAAAACUUUUGAAUUUUGAAAAACUUGUUCUGCUAGACAAUCACGAAUCGCAUCGUUCCUUGGCAGCACUGCAGUUUUGUCGAGAUAAUGGAAUUCAUGCUGUGUCCUUCCCGCCCCAUUGCUCUCAUCGCCUUCAGCCACUAGACGUCAGCGUAUUUGGUCCGUUAAAAAUUGCGAUUAACAAGCAAUUCGAAUUAUUCUUGCGAAUGCAUCCAGGGCGCGGCGUUCAUAUUUUCGACAUUCCGGCGAUGGUGACACGAGCUCUAGAAGUGGGAGCUGAUGAAAGGAACAUAAAAGCGGAAUUUAAAGCCACUGGAAUUUGGCCGAUGGAUUCGGACAUAUUCAUAGAUAUCGAUUUUAUGCCGAGUGCCACAACCAAUCGAGCUGAACCAACAACUGUUGAAGACGAAAAUGAAAAUGAAGAGGAAAGAAAUGAACCAUCACACCAAGCAGAAGUAAAAGAAAUCAUCGACCGAUCGCUAUUCCUAAGUUCGACAAUUGAAUCGCUUUCGCCAUUCCCGGAAGCUCCACCACGCAUUCAGAAGAAACAAAGAGGUCGUAAGCCAGGACGGACGAUGAUUUUGACAGAUGGUAAAGAAAUUGAAAAAAUCGAAGAAGAAGAAAGACAACGUCGUAUCAGUGAGAUAUCCAAGCAGGAUAAAAUCCAACAGCAAAAAGAGAAACGCGAAUAUUUAGAAAAUGUUAAAAUGGAAAAUAAAAUUAACAAAUGCCGUGUAAAGUCAAUUCAUUUAUUGUGAUUGAUUGUUCUUCGUUACAAGUAAAUUUAAUGACGGACCUUUUACGUUUGGUAUGAUGACUAGAACAAAAUAUAUGUACGGAAGAAUUAUCAAACGUUUGAUGAACCAGCCUAAGGCUGAAAAUCUUUCCAAUAAAGACAACAAAAAAAAUUAUCAAACGAUUAUUUUAUUUUACAUUUCCCUCUGAAGUUUACAUCCCAAAAGUGUACAUACUUCUCGAAUCUCGAAUUUGCUUGAAACUGGGAAGUUCAUUCGCUUCUAGUGGCUGCACGAUUUUCCCAGGUUCCUAAGUUUAGAAGAUCAUGUUAGGACAGACAUAUUCCACUCUGCACAAAGGCAAGCGAGGACAAAAGUACUCGCAGUUUGCAUUUAUUUGCAGAGCCGAUUUCCCCAGAAACCUCGGUUUUGAAGUCUGUGUUAGGGAAACACAUUUCAAUCGUAUGAAUUCGCAAUGCCGAUUUCCCCACGCUUCAUGGAUUUGAAGUCUGUGUUAGGGAAACACAUUCCAGUCGGAACAAAAAUACCCCCGACUUGCAUGAAUUUGAAAUACCGAUUUCUCCAGGCACCUUGGUUUAGAAAUCUCUAUUAGGGAACACAUUUCGGUGGGAACAAAAGCUCCCCCUACUUUCGUGUGUUCUUUUUCUUCUUUUUGGCUUUAAGAGGGUUUAAACUUUUCAGUUCACUCGCCUCUAGGCUCUUUCGUGUGCUUGCAAUGCCGAUUUCGCUGCUUGGUUUUAAAGUCUGUGUUAGGGAACAUUUUUCGAUGAGAACAAAAGUCCCCCUACUUUCAUGUAUUUGCAAUGCCGAUUUCCCCAAGGCUGCUUGGUUUUGAUGGUUGUGUUAGGGAAACCGUAAAUCGGGCCAAUCAAAACGAUGCAGUUAGGGCGUUUAGAUAACGCCUAAUAUUUUACAGUUAUUCAAUUGUUUAUCUAAUGAAAAACAACAUUUUGUUAGUUGCGAUAGAUGCGUAGAAAUAUUUCCUAUCAAGUGAUGCAAACAUCUCUCCUAUCCAGUACGAAAUGUUCGAGCUAUAAGCAUUCGAAAUCUUUCAUUUUUUCCUGCAUGUUCUGUGUUUAGGUUUUCAUUUUACCCUCCAUAUAUUCCGGUUAGACGUAGUCCCACGUCAAAAAGCAACAAGAGGAAAACAAGAAGUUACGAGGAUUGAAAAAGAAGCAGCAAGAAGAGAGGAAGAAACUACAAGAAAUAAAGAAGAUGCAACAAGAAGAAAACAAGAAGACACAAGAAUUGAAAAACAAGCAGAAAGAAUAAAUAAAUAAACUACAAGAAAUGAAGAA